UGAAAGUAUGUGAUUAUUGAGGACAUGCUGAGCAUGUCAAAUGAAUGUGAAAAAUAUUGAGAUAUGAAUAUGUAUGUGAUUGUGUGACAUAUUGCAUAUGCAUUGGGUUGAGAUUUUGUGGUUGACGGAGGAGUUUCGUGGAGUACCGGCGGAAUAUUAAGUCCGCAAUAUUCGUAGUCAAUGCACUGCACCUGGAGCACCGAGGGG
rnacentral:lncRNA from 1 species